AGUAGUUUGAUCAGUGGCUCGAGGACGAACGCUGGCGGUGUGCUUCACACAUGCAAGUCGAACGAGGUAGCAAUACCUAGUGGCGGACGGGUGAGUAACGCGUGGGAAUCUGCCUUUAGAUGGGGGAUAACGGGUCGAAAGACUCGCUAAUACCGCAUAUGACGAAAGUUGAAAGGAGUAAUCCGUCUAAAGAUGAGCCCGCGUCCGAUUAGCUAGUUGGUAGAGUAAAAAGCCUACCAAGGCGACGAUCGGUAGCUGGUCUGAGAGGAUGAUCAGCCACAAUGGGACUGAGACACGGCCCAUACUCCUACGGGAGGCAGCAGUGGGGAAUUUACGCAAUGGGCGAAAGCCUGACGUAGCGACACCGCGUGAGCGAAGAAGCCCCUUGGGGUGUAAAGCUCUGUCAGCUGGAACGAAAAAAUGACGGUACCAGCAGAGGAAGCAUCGGCUAACUACGUG
rnacentral:rRNA from 1 species